ACGCUGGCGGCGUGCUUACACAUGCAAGUCGAACGAAACACCUUAUCUGAUUUUCUUCGGAACUGAAGAUUUGGUGAUUGAGUGGCGGACGGGUGAGUAACGCGUGGGUAACCUACCCUGUACAGGGGGAUAACAGUCAGAAAUGACUGCUAAUACCGCAUAAGACCACAGCACCGCAUGGUGCAGGGGUAAAAACUCCGGUGGUACAGGAUGGACCCGCGUCUGAUUAGCUGGUUGGUGAGGUAACGGCUCACCAAGGCGACGAUCAGUAGCCGGCUUGAGAGAGUGAACGGCCACAUUGGGACUGAGACACGGCCCAAACUCCUACGGGAGGCAGCAGUGGGGAAUAUUGCACAAUGGGGGAAACCCUGAUGCAGCGACGCCGCGUGAGUGAAGAAGUAUCUCGGUAUGUAAAGCUCUAUCAGCAGGGAAGAAAAUGACGGUACCUGACUAAGAAGCCCCGGCUAACUACGUGCCAGCAGCCGCGGUAAUACGUAGGGGGCAAGCGUUAUCCGGAAUUACUGGGUGUAAAGGGUGCGUAGGUGGUAUGGCAAGUCAGAAGUGAAAACCCAGGGCUUAACUCUGGGACUGCUUUUGAAACUGUCAGACUGGAGUGCAGGAGAGGUAAGCGGAAUUCCUAGUGUAGCGGUGAAAUGCGUAGAUAUUAGGAGGAACAUCAGUGGCGAAGGCGGCUUACUGGACUGAAACUGACACUGAGGCACGAAAGCGUGGGGAGCAAACAGG
rnacentral:rRNA from 1 species